CCUACGGGUGGCAGCAGUGGGGAAUAUUGGGCAAUGGCCGCAAGCCUGACCCAGCAAAGUCGCGUGAAGGAUGACGGCUCUCCGGUUGUUAACUUCUUUUUUCAGGGAAGCGUAGAAGACGGUACCUGCCGCAUCAGCCACGGCCAACUACGUGCCAGCAGCCGCGGUAAUACGUAGGUGGCCGGCGUUGUCCGGAUUUACGGGGUGUAAAGGGCGUGUAGGCGGGUUGACAAGUCAGAUGUGAAAUCCUGCGGCUUAACCGCAGUACUGCAGUUGAAACUGUUGAUCUUGAGUACGGGAGAGGCAGGUGGAAUGCGUGGUGUAGCGGUGAAAUGCGUAGAUAUGAGGAAGAACACCAGUGGCGAAGGCGGUCUGCUGGACAGCAACUGACGGUGAGGUGCGAAAGCGUGGGGAGCGAACAGGAUUAGAUACCCGGGUAGUC
rnacentral:rRNA from 1 species